AUAUGUGGAGCAUGCCAUUUGCCCUUGUAGGCAGGAUUCCUCUUCAUUGGCCUCUUCCACUCGCCGCAUCCAGGGGCUGCUUCACACUUUGGGUUAUCAAUCUUUGGGGCCUCCCAUUCACCAUCCUCCUCAUCAUCCCAAUCCUCAGGUUUUGUGGCCUCAGGGUCAUCUAUCUCCUCAGGGUCAUCAUCCAGCCAUCCUUCAGGUUUCACAGCAUCCUCAUCUUCAAUUUCCAUGGGAGCAUCCUCAUCCCAGUCUUCAGGUUUUACUGCAUCAGGGUCAGGAAUCUUUGCCCUCUCAUCCCAAUCCUCAGGCUUCUUGUCAUCUGGAUCAGGAAUUGUCUUCUCAGGAAUGAGCGGUGGCUGAAAAUCAUCAGCAGCGAGGAAAUUUGCCUUCUGCUUCUCCUCUCCAUCAAUUAAAAUUCUCAACUCAUUAUCAGGUUUCAAGAUGGCAGUGUAUACAUGAGUCAGUUUAUCAGAGGGCACAGAAGGUGG
rnacentral:lncRNA from 1 species